rnacentral:SRP_RNA from 2 species
GCUGGGUGUGGUGGCGUGCACCUGUAAUCCUGGCUACUCAGGAGGCUGAGGCAGGAGAAUUGCUUGAACCCAGGAGGUGGAGGUUGCAGUGAGCUGAGAUCACGCCACUGCACUCCAGCCUGGGCGACAGAGUGAGACUCUGUCUCAA